UACGUAGGGUGCGAGCGUUGUCCGGAAUUACUGGGCGUAAAGAGCUCGUAGGUGGUUUGUCGCGUUGUUCGUGAAAUCUCACGGCUUAACUGUGAGCGUGCGGGCGAUACGGGCAGACUAGAGUACUGCAGGGGAGACUGGAAUUCCUGGUGUAGCGGUGGAAUGCGCAGAUAUCAGGAGGAACACCGGUGGCGAAGGCGGGUCUCUGGGCAGUAACUGACGCUGAGGAGCGAAAGCGUGGGGAGCGAACAGGAUUAGAUACCCUGGUAGUCCACGCCGUAAACGGUGGGUACUAGGUGUGGGUUUCCUUCCUUGGGAUCCGUGCCGUAGCUAACGCAUUAAGUACCCCGCCUGGGGAGUA
rnacentral:rRNA from 1 species